UGUUGGAUCGACCAGGGUUAUUUUUUUUGAAGCGCGGCCGAAGGCCUCCAACGCGAAAAGGAGUUUUACCGGAGUGUACCCGGUGUUGGAUCGGCCAGGGUUAUUUUUUUGAAGCGCGGCCGAAGGCCACCAAUGCAGAAAGAAGUGGGACGCGAAUGGACUAAUGUUUACCCAGGUGUUGGAUUGGCCAGGGUUCUUUAAGCGUGGUCGAAGGCUGCUAAUGCACAAAGAUGUAUCGUUAAACAAAGCAUUGGAAUCUUAAAAAGACGGGGGAGAAUUUUAGGAUAUAGCAAGAGAGGAAAUGGACACCGGGCUAGCGAACCGCCUCACCGCAAUCGACCAAACGAUAAGUGGCCAAAUAAAGUAUUCUUUAAUAAAUUUAAUUCAAAAAUGUAUAUGUCCUUUACCUUGUAAAUAAUUUUAUUUUUAAU